UGUGCGCGCGCGCGCGCGCGCAUGCUCUUAUACUCAUGCAUGAGCGCAUGGGCACAUGGGCGCAGCGCCCUCUUUUCUUCCUCUGUCUCCAACAGCACUGUUGUGUCUCAUCUGGGUCAAUCCAGUAGCCUGGUGUGGUGGAGCAUCUGUCAUAACGCUUACUUGCUUCAUCUCUGUCAGCCAGCCCCACUCUCUUCGCUGUGCCGGGUUACCCCUCAUCACAGUCUUCGUAGGAGUCUCUGCUGCUCUUUGGAUUCCUUUACCAAUGGGAGGAGGCCGACAAAGAUCACCAAGACGAUAAUCAAGAUGAUCUGGUCACCGCACUGAGUUCGGAUCUGAUCCCUGUCAUUAGAUGCAUGUCCAGUCACCUGGAGGAGGCGACCCUCUUGGAGCCUUACGAGCAUCUCUUACUGCUUUCAAAACAAGCUCCUAACCGUCUCUCGGAACACCUCUCCUCCAGGCUUCUUAGCUUCCUGACAGGAUCUGGGGUGUGAGUGAAGGGGAGACUCCACUCUGUCUUUAUCUUUCAUUUCACAGUCCAGUCAGUCAGUUAGCUUCAGGUCCUAUGCACAAACUUGAACCAGCUGUGAGUAGUUCCAGGAUUACUUCCAGGCAGAGCCACCUGAACCUGUGCUGGGUGGCACAACAUGCCCAUAGGGACAAAGACAAACCCUAUGACUUCACACACCAGCCUGCAUUUAGCCAGGUUCUUCAGGCUCCUGACAUCACCAGCUAGCAUGACACACUGCAGAAAUUACUGUAUGGUACUUG
rnacentral:lncRNA from 1 species